GAGAUGGGCUGAGCAAAGUCAACCGGAGUUUGGAGAAUUCCAGCCCCCACAUCAGAGUACCAGGCCUGAUGCUGUCUCUGUACCCUGGACCUGGAGAGGAAAUCCAUCUUUAACCUUUACUGUUGGAGAGAAUGAAGAAAAUUCCCCAUCUCGAGAAAAUGGAGCUGCUAGUUUUUAUAGAAUCAGCAAAGCCUAGGCCGAAGAAAGCCUCCACUGGGUAUCAGUCCAACGUGCGAGGCACCAGACUCUGAAAGACCCAAGGAAGAAAAAUGGAACCUAGGACUCACCGGAGAGUUUAAAUUUCUGAAAGAAGGCAAGUCAAAAAGAAUGCUGUUAUUACAAGCGGGCUUGUGAAGGAAGAUUUGGAUUUUGAAGAUAAGGAGGAAAUACGUCACUGGAUGAACCUGCAGACUCGCACUGCACUGGCAGGAAGGCAUGCUGAUGACAUGUGGAAAGUCUCCCGACUUUUGACUGACACAGUGAGGUGAUAUACAUUAUGGCUACAUUGAAGAGGUCAUCUUGAACAUGAAAGCUACAAUGUAACCUCACCAAGAACUCAGAAAUAUUGGGAAGUUCUCAUUUCUUCUUCAAGUAUCAUAGAGACCACUGUAAUGAUCUCAGCUUCAUUAUAUUACCUUUGGUUUCAGAAAUUCAAGAAAGCAACCCAUGACCCCAAGUCACAACCUAUUAUACUCAAGACAAAAGCAUGUCUUAAAGUUGGGUGUUAUUUAUAUUUCUGAAAGAAAUCCAGA